UGGUAUGGCCUAACGGUAAGGCAUCUCAUUCGUAAUGAGAGGAUUGUAAGUUCGAAUCUCACUACC
rnacentral:tRNA from 2 species